UACGGAGGGUGCAAGCGUUGUUCGGAAUCACUGGGCGUAAAGCGCGUGUAGGCGGCUAUUUAAGUCUGAUGUGAAAGCCCUGGGCUUAACCCAGGAAGUGCAUUGGAUACUGGGUAGCUCGAGUACCGGAGAGGAGGGUGGAAUUCCGGGUGUAGCGGUGGAAUGCGUAGAUAUCGAGAGGAACAUCGGUGGCGAAGGCGGCCUUCUGGACAGCGACUGACGCUGAGACGCGAAAGCGUGGGGAGCAAACAGG
rnacentral:rRNA from 1 species